rnacentral:misc_RNA from 1 species
GGAGGAUUCGGAGCAUGAGAAGAAGAAGAACUACAUCAACAAGAAGGGGGCGUUGGGUUGGGUUGAAUGGUUGAGAGGUUGGAUGUACGUCAUUCACGAGAUGCUCUUCCAGAGAAUCAUGGCCAGCCAUCUGCAGAAUCCUAUGCCUCUCCCUCCCGUCAACGAUCUUACUUGCAUUGUUACCGGAUCCACCAGCGGUAUUGGCCGCGAGAUUGCCAGGCAACUGGCAGAAUCAGGGGCACAUGUUGUCAUGGCAGUCAGGAACCCAAAGGCUGCUCUCGACUUGAUUCAGAAGUGGCAAAAUGAA